AGUGAACGCUGGCGGUAGGCCUAACACAUGCCAGUCGAACGGCAGCACAGUAAGAGCUUGCUCUUACGGGUGGCGAGUGGCGGACGGGUGAGGAAUACAUCGGAAUCUACUUUUUCGUGGGGGAUAACGUAGGGAAACUUACGCUAAUACCGCAUACGACCUACGGGUGAAAGCAGGGGAUCUUCGGACCUUGCGCGAUUGAAUGAGCCGAUGUCGGAUUAGCUAGUUGGCGGGGUAAAGGCCCACCAAGGCGACGAUCCGUAGCUGGUCUGAGAGGAUGAUCGGCCACACUGGAACUGAGACACGGUCCAGACUCCUACGGGAGGCAGCAGUGGGGAAUAUUGGACAAUGGGCGCAAGCCUGAUCCAGCCAUACCGCGUGGGUGAAGAAGGCCUUCGGGUUGUAAAGCCCUUUUGUUGGGAAAGAAAAGCAGCAGGUUAAUACCCCGCUGUUCUGACGGUACCCAAGGAAUAAGCACCGGCUAACUUCGUG
rnacentral:rRNA from 1 species